UACGUAGGGUGCGAGCGUUGUCCGGAUUUAUUGGGCGUAAAGAGCUCGUAGGCGGUCUGUCGCGUCUGCUGUGAAAACUCAGGGCUUAACCCUGAGCUUGCAGUGGGUACGGGCAGACUAGAGUGCGGUAGGGAGACUGGAAUUCCGUGGUGAUAGCGGUGAAAUGCGCAGAUAUCAGGAGGAACACCGGUGGCGAAGGCGGGUCUCUGGGCCGUAACUGACGACUGGAG
rnacentral:rRNA from 1 species